AAGUCGUAACAAGGUUUCCGUAGGUGAACCUGCGGAAGGAUCAUUAUCGAGUUUUGAAACAGGUUGUAGCUGGCCUUUCUUUACGGAGAGGCAUGUGCACGCUUGGCUCAUCCACUCUCUACCUCUGUGCAUUUUUUGUAGAAAUGGUUUUGAAGCGGACGCAAGUCUGUAGAUGGCCUUUCUAUGUUUUAUUACAAACGCUUCAGUUAUAGAAUGUUUACUUGCGGAUAACGCAUUUAUAUACAACUUUCAGCAACGGAUCUCUUGGCUCUC
rnacentral:misc_RNA from 1 species